UGGGGUCAUUAACAGUGGGGGAGCUCUUGUUCGUGAUCUGUCAACUCAAAUAUGGAUCACCAGACAAAGGAACUUAGCGAGGAGUAAUCUGUGUGUGUGAUACUUACAUGAGAGUAAACGAGAAUGUGAGACAAGUGCGGCAACAAUGGGAGCUCCGCGUGUUUUCCUCUCUUUUCGCUCCCUUUAAAUUGUUUUGCGUUUGUGUGAGCUGGUGCAUCUGUCAAACGAGAUUUGCACUGACAUCCAGCUGAACGUCAACAACAUAAAGACAAUUAGAUUUUCACAUAUGGCGUCCGUGUUUGAAGUCAGAGUGGUUUGAGCACAGGGGGGUAUUACUCUGCUGUAAAAGGUGACUAAUCCUUGAGUGUUUUUCACGCGUUAAAAGGCCAUAGUUUACCCUGCUUUAAAAUCACAGCUAACACAUGUUGUACACCGAAGUUAAAGCUGACAGUCAGUCCAGCUAUAAGGAACAAGAGGAAGGGGAGGAGGAGGAGGAGAAGGGGGGCUAUUAAGCCGGAGUCUGGCGGUGAGAAAUACUUGCCCUGCCCUGUUUUUUCUCGGAUUUCACCGGUUAACUGAACACAACUUUACUAUUGGUGUGUAUUCAUGCAGCAGCCAAAGAGCACCAGUUUCCCUGUAGCCUCUGCAGCGCGGCUGUCAGUGCAGGAAUGAGCGGGGCCCUGUGGACUUAACUUUCUGCUCUCUCACUCUCCACUGUCUGCAUUAGGUAAGACGCAGGGCUGCAGUACUGGCUGAAGUUUAUACUGAGUUAAAUGCACGUGACUUCACAAUCGGAGGGCUCUUCUUUUGGGCUAUUAAUGGCAAUAAAACCACCUUUAUAUAAAGUCAAGUCUACAAUAUCACCUUAUAACAUUCCCUAACAUUCCCCUUAAAUCACAUUCAUACAAUAACAAACUGUAGUGACGGCCUUUCACGCAAAUGUUGUUUAUAAGAGUGGUUAUGAUAGGAAAGAUGAAAUUAAAAUCAAUAAAUUGUAAAGAAAUUAAUCAACUAUGUCAUCAUGGGUGUUUAUGACGACUUUUGGCGUGGUUUGAAGCAGGUCGACGUCAUGAUUUGUGCGUAAAUUCGACGUUUUUUUGUAUAAUUUUGAUUAUGUGUCUCCAUGCCCAUCGUGCGUAAAAUGUGCGCCUUUUCUCUCCACCGAUGCCAGCCGCCAUACACCUGCUGCUUGUUGUCCAGCCCCACACACAACCUCACCACAGCCACAGUCACUCCUAACACGUAUCACACUCCUCCUCUGUAAGUCAAGGCCAGUGUUUGAAAGUGUCCAUCUAUUAAAUAGUAAUUUGGAGGUCAUACAAGGCAAGAGGCAGUAAUGCUGCACCAGUGUGUGAGCUUUCAUUAUAUGUAGGCUACCGUGUAAACACAGAUGGGAUCAUUGUCUCUCUUUGUCAUAGGUAGGUUGGGUAAGAGGUGUGUGUAUGCAUGUGUAUGUGUAUGUGUGUGUGUGUGUGUGUGUGUAGUGGUGGGGGCCUGAAGAAAUGCUUCAGUGUAAUGCUGAUUAGUGUGGACUGCCAUUGCACAAGCCUCAUCUUUUUAAAACAAGCAUAACAUGAAAGCAAACCCAACUCUGGCUUACUCAAGCGAACAUGACCCCCCCAACACACACACACACACACACACACACACACAUACACACACACACACACCCCUACACCUACACACACAUACAUCACUGUCACGAGCAAAUGUGCACGCCUUACACUAACAGCACACAUGGAGGUUGUGUGCGUGUGUGUGUGUUGGGGUGGGGGCUCUGGCUGGGUGCAGGCUGUGAUCUCUCGCCUUGUGCACACCGAGUGGACAGAGGGCUGAGCAGCUUAAAUAGAGCCCCAGCACCUGUGUUUUCUGCCGCCGUUCUCAGGCCUUCUUCUUGGCGUGGCACCGCUCGGCACAGCUCGAAUGUCAGCACUGAGAGUAGAACAUCAUGAUAGGAUAAACACCGUGCGCCUCCUAUAACAGAGAAGGACAACAUUUUUUCCAAUGAUGUUUUUUUGAUGAAGGAAUAUCAUUAAAAAAAUCAAAAUUAGUCAACUUUAGCAAAAUGUGUAAAAAUUAAAGUUAAACUAUGUUGACCACAAUUACAGUCAGAGAUUGAGAGUGAAUAUUUCAAUUCAAGGUUCAUACUAAAUUGAAAUAGUCUAUUUAUGUUGAUGUGAUCGACACUUCCUGCUUCUUCUACACUUGUAAAGAAAACUACUAAAACAGACUCUGUCCUCCUCUCUAACUUGGUGCGUUAUGGUGACUCGUCCCCCUCUGCUCCCCCCUUUUUUCCUUCCAUGAAUUGGUAAUUGUUUGUUUCCUGGUCUGAUACUGAAUGCUUUUGUCCGUCAGCUGGAGCUCCUGCCUGCCCUGGUUCUGAAAGCACCGGAUGAACCUGGACAUGGACACCCGGUCCCGCUGUGCCCACGGACAACACACACAUUUUAGUCUUUAUUUUUUUCCCUCUUUCUCAGGGCAUUAAGGUCUGGACCAUAAUACAAGGAACUCAUGGCAUUUAUGGACGGAAAUGAGGCUCUGGGUCAACAGUAAAUUGGCAAAAUGACAGACGUUAUGCCAGAAAGGCUCUACAUUUUUACAGCGUUAUUUAUUGACUGUGGGUUGACUGUAUAUUCCUCCAAAUCAAGAAUAAAUUUGAAAUUUAUUUUUUGUUUCCAAAACAAUGUGGAAAAGGCCUGAAAUUGAUUGAUUUUUUUUAAGUCACAGAUUUUAAAUUCAAAUUAAACACCUGAUACUGUUCAGGUCAUGGAAGUACGUAUAAUUCAAAUAAAGGAAAAUAUAAAAUUGACAUUAAAAAGAAAAAAAAAGGCCUACACUUCAAUCCGUGAAAGUGAAAAUAAACAGGAUUGAGAUUUUACGCAAAUAGGCCUCUUCGUUUUUAUGGAUAAACUAAGCUUAAUGCUGUGUAGCCAUACAUAUGUUUUCCUGAUGUGUUUGUCUAAAUAUGUUUUAAGCUCUUGUUUUAGCAAAGCACGCCUAUGACACGCCUCCUUUCUGUGCGCGUGCACUUCACAGAGGUCACGGAUUGACUGAGGCCUGAGUGUCCGUGUCAAUUAAACCUCCAUUUACAAAGCUAUGGCAUGGAUUACCCAGGAUGCUCCACAAACAGUGGGAGGAAAAGAGUGAGGGGGACAGUGGAGGUACAGGCAGGUGCGGAUCCGGAUAGCGGGGCAGACUGAGCGGGGCAGACACAAACGUGGGCCUUCACUGCCAUCUAGUGGGCGUUUGAGGAAGAAGCAUGACUCUGCGGACUGUGUUUCCCUGAAAACUGCUUCUCUUAUAUCAGGGUGUUUGAGGGACAAAACUUGAGGUGUUUAACUCUGUCUGAUUAAAGUUUAUUUAUCUAGGCUAUCUUUAUUUAAUAUUCACACAGUUUUCUUUUGGCCUCACAUAUUUGCUGUUUUCUCAAAAUGUUGAGGACGAUAAAGUCACCAAAUAAGAAUCAGAAUAUUUGAUCCUAUAGGGGGGAAAUAUUGUAGUGCAAUGUAAAUUUUCAUGUCCCGCAAGUGUCAUCACUGCAUACAAUAAAUCCAGCGUUUAAGAUGGAAAUACUUUUUUCUCUUUUGAAGUUAACAUGUACUCUAGUUAAUGUCAGUGCAAGCAUGAACAUACAUACACAGGCUUGCACUACAGGGACAAGAGCAAGCCAGUGAGUUCAUACCUCCCACACAGACACAUAUAUACACACACCGUACAGGGGUGCAGUCAUUAAAGUUUCAUUGCAUGAAAGUCAAAUGAUGUUGGAACACCGAAGCAGUGUCUCCAUUUAGAGCUAGAUGAAGGAUUCAGACGCCAGAGAGUGAAAUGAAACCCUUGAUCCCUGGUUAAUUUUUAAAAACUGAUACCCAGAGUUUUACUGAGGCCGCAAAGGAGACAAGUGACUGACUGCUGUGUGUGUGAGAGUGAGGAAGAUGGUGGUGAGGGAGGGAGGAAGCAUAAUGGUGUCCGCUGGAGCGCGGCCUUUUAGAGUUUAACUCUCCUAUUAUAGCGAGCGGGGCAGGGGGGAGGAAGAGGACACAGAGAAUGCAACAGAGAAGGUUUCACUGUAAAUGGACAGUAAAACGCUUGCGGCAAUCCACCAUUAAAUCAUUGCAGGAGAAGAGGCCGGCAUGUUACACGCCACGAGCAAUAACUCUUUCAUUUCCUGGCUUCUACCCCCUUCACAUGUCUCAAACAGUUUCAGCCCCAUUUCAGGUUCACAUGAGAGGAUAAGAAACCUUUUUGUGAGAGGUCAUCAGAGUUGAUUUACAGAAUCAGCAGCUCGGUGGAUGGAUGGAAAUGCAUCUUAUGUCCAUUGACAUGUUAGCUGAUUUACCCUGGAGGUAAAACGUGCAUUUUAGGAUAAAUUAACUAAUUCUUUGGCUUUGAGCUCAUUUAAAAACCUGUACAGGAUGACGGCAAACUAACACCCCGCAGUCUCUGUUAGCAUUUAAAGGACGUACCUGCAUACUGUAUGUGAAACCAAAUUUCAGUCUCCUUCAUUGUCCACAUCCCUCCUCACAUAUUCAUCUCCCUGAAUCCAUCUGAAAGGUUUUGCUUGUCCCAACUGCUUGGAUGAAAAUUAACCAUCUGGAAAAAAAAAGGGAGAGAAAGUUUAAUGAAACUCAUGUUUCAAACUCACCCUUCAUUGUCUAUGAGAGCCUCUACUUAAGAGGUGCAUGUCAAAUGUACCUUACUGGUUAAUAACUGGCUUAGGGCUCCAGAGACCCUCAGCUGAAGCGUGCUGUUUUGUCCGACCACUUUUUCUAUUUUUAAUAAGUUCCUGAACAUGAGUUGGUUCGGGGAGGAUCUUUAAAAACGGCCUCCGUCCCGAGGUGGCCUCCAAAACACAUGCAUUAUUGAAGCAUGCACCGGCCCUGUCCUCCGCUCUGCCUUCACUCAGUCCAGUUCAGCAAACAGCAGCAGCAGCAGCAGCAGCAGCAGGAACAGCUGCAGAGCUCCCAGAAGAGCCAGGCGAGGAGGAGGAGGAGGAGGAGGAACACACAGGAGGUGUGUUCAGAGCUCAGAGACCUCAUGUAGGACUGUGGAAGAGAGAGGCAGAGGAGCAGAUACAGGUUGAAGACUCAAAUAUCCCCAACUAGUUCACAUUUAUUUCAGAUCAAAUGCUUCUUUGUUCAUUCAGGAGGGGAAACAUUGUGCAAGGGAAAAUCUACCUACACAUCGAUGUAAAUAAAAAUGAGAGACUGAACAUCAUUGUGGAGGUUUUUACAUUUUAGAAUAAAUGGAAAAAUAAAUAAAAAAAGAUAAAUAUAGCAUUUCAAUUAUUUGAAGAGCAUCAUGGGCACUGAAUGCUCACUAAAACCAGCUUUAAAAUAUGAAACUGAAAAUCAUAGGUCUAUUUGAAUUUCAUGAAUGCUAAUCACGGUUUGUUAUUGGGUGUAUUCAUUUACAUCAGCAGUAAUUCAAAAACAUUUCCCGUAUUUAAGCUCCUAUGAAGAGUCUAUUUAUUAUUAUAGAGUCUAUUUACAAUCAUUAUAAUGUGGAUGUGUUUCAGCAAAGAUGUUUGAAACAAAAAUAUACACCUUGUUUUAGAGUAAUACUUCAUAAUCUUAUCAUAGAAAAAAAAUGUCAUGAAAACGUCAUUUAUUCAACACCACACAACUUCAACUCUAUGAAUGUUUAUGUGUAUAUCCUUCUCUUCAUGACUUCUUGACACACACAUAUAUCCAUGCACACACACACACACAUGCACACUAUCAAAACCUAAUGUGAUGGCAAAGGGAGCAGUUGAGAUCUGUGUAAAUGGUCAAUUGGCUUAACUCGGUGGUGUCUGUUCCUGGUGUGACCAUGUCAGUAGGCAAUGUGCAAAUGUGUAUUCUUUUGAAGUCCCUGAUGUAAUCCUCUGCAGCACACUGGUCCCUGUAAAGCCCCGGGGAGCAGAGAUGAGUGGGAGCAGAACAGUGUUUGUUCUGGGAUUAAGAUAUCACUUCCUCCACUUUAGUCAUUCAAAUGUCACACGCACGAGUGCAGAGUGCAAACACUGCGUGUGUAAUUCUUGCACAAAUACAGUGUCUUUAGUCUCUGUGUUCCCAAUAACUUUAUGACUGUAUUUCUGCAAAAUGUGGCCGUCUCAUCGUGUUACACUGCCAUCUGGUGAUCUACCGUAUAAUGAAUCAUAUACACCUAAAAAUGACCACGUUGUCAUUUUUAUCUAGAUACAGAUGGUAUGUUACAGUUAACCUAGGGAAGCUUUCAGUGGGAUCUAUCAACAUUUGGAUUUAAAGUGUUGCAGCACUUAGCAGUGAACUCUGGUCAGCUAUACCAACCAAAAAUUACUGGAAAAAGUUAAAACAAAUAUCUUUUUAAAUUUGCAAAGACCUCGGUUGUAAAUAUUUUAGUUGUUUUCUUUUUAUUAAUUGUUGAUCUUCCAUCAAAGUCUGAUUGCCAAAGAAAAUAUCAGCAACUGUUUGUGAUAUUACAUCUUAAACUCAAAGGUUUUGUCAUGAGCAGGUUUUCUGCCAUCACACAUGAAUACAAUAUCAUGCCGUUACACCUUUUCUCACCACUGGAAGGAUUUCAAAUGCACCCGUUUAAGUAGAUUUUGCAACCUCUGACUGUAAACUGUAUUCAUAGUAUCUUGGUUUCCAUGUACAGUAUUAGCUGGCUGCUAAAUGGAGUUCACUUAUUAUUGCCAACCAUGCUUUUCAAACAAGCACAACUAACUACAUGUAAGCCAUGCACUUUCAUCCUUGAACCUCAAUAUUAGCUUGUAAGUGGUCUGAAAACACAAGAAACUGCAGGUAUUUCAAAAGAUGGUAAAAAUUAGGAGAGAAAGUGUAAAUAAAUGUGAGAUACAAUAUGAGCGAAGGCGUCAGAUUACAGAUACAGUAUGAUGGGAGGAAAACUCGUGCAUCAUAAAAUAUGAAAAAUAACUGUCUGCCUGUAUUUUCUGGUUAUUCAAAAGGACUGGAAAUUUGUUAAAACUACCUCUACAUGUCAUACAAUGAAAACAAAAGUUAGGUAUUAAUAAUAAAAAUGCCUUACUUCAGCCACCAGGUGUCAUCAUGAGCUCAAUAUUGGAAAUGUGUCUAUAUCUAUGAAACCAUAAACUGGGAGUGAAUCUAAAGUGAAGGACAAACAUAACAAAAAAGCAUGGUAUCUUGUGCUUCCACCCAUACAUAUAUUACAUGUAAAACUAUUCAUCGUACGGCUUCAUAGAUUCACUCUAAUGCAGCUCUUUCUGGUGUCUGUAAAGGUUAGUAAUGGCAUUCAUGGCUUCCAGAUCCAUUCCAGUAGUUAUAUGUGUAUUUGUCAAGUCAAGUGUACCAUAAAUUAGAAAUGGUGUAUACAGAAGCUUUAAGGUCACUGACACACACACCCCACUGUGUUGUGAAAUUAUACCCGUGGCAUGUUUUCUGCAUUUCUCACUCCAAAAAUCGCUCUGGCUGAAACCCAGCAGCGUUUGAAGAGCAGCGGAGGAGCUAAUGAAGCAGCAAGAGAACGGCAACAAAGCAAAAAAGAGGACUUCAAGCAGCUGCCAUUGCUGAGGGUGAGGAACAAAACACACAACAAGAGGAGUCCACAGCUUGGAAACCAGUCUAGUGUAAGUUAUCAGGAGAGGGGAGAGGGGGGAGACAGAGGGAGGGGGGCAGAAAGAAGAUAGAGAGCGCUGAAGAUAGUUUUUGUUAUUUUCAUGGCCACUUACUUCAAAAAGUAAACAAGGAUAUGGAUUUGGAAGACACUUAGGACGAUAUUGUGAGUGCGUGUGUGUAAUAAUAUUUUUGCAAGCAUGGGACUAUACAGUCCUUUGCACAAACUUGUCUUUUGUACCACAACAUCAUCCAAAUACUAGGAGAAGUAUCAGCAAAUGCAUGAAAAGUGUGAGAGCACGGUGCAGCUACACUUCCAAGCCUGAUUCUAAAGAUGUCAAAGAUGUUAUCAUUACAUUGUUAUUGUAUGAUGACUUUUUUAAUACAUUCUCAAGUCCAGUAGGAGGAAACAUGCACAUACAGUAUGCAGUAUGACUGCAGUAUGGCUGUCAAACCUCACAGAUAAAAACACAGGAUUGGUCCUUCUCUAAAAGAGCACAUAAGAUUUGGCCUGAAAACUUCCCUUUCAUCUCAUGUUGAAGCAGACUUUGGCAAAAUAGGAAUAUUUCUGUAAAAAAAAAAAAAAAAAAAAAAAAAAAUUCUAAUCAAAUAUUAAUUAAUGUGUGUCAUUAUGCAUGAUGACUCUACAGGUUUGUACAGCAGAUAAUGAAGGUGAGGUAGACUUGCUUUUGUUUUAUUAAGCAUAUUGAAUGAUGUUUUGAUGUAUUUUACUCAUUGUGAAAUCUGUCCUCAGAGUGCAGUUGCAACUAUCAGUAUAAAUAUUUAUGUUACAAAAUUUAUGCUAUUUGUUUAUUCCUUUGCAUAUGAUACUGUGCUACGAUAUUAGACCAUAAAAUGUAUGAAAAAGGUUGUAUUAUAAAUUAAAUUAAUUCAUUUUUAUACACUUAUUACCUUGUUCUACUGUUCGGACCCCCCAGAGAAAUGUAGAUUAAGUGUUUUUCCCAAGAUCAGUUAAAUUAUAAAAUUAUAUUAUGUUGUUUUUGUCCAUAUGACUCAUUCUCUUCCAUGUCUUGAUACCAAACUUUUCACUUUUGCUCAUUUUGUUCAUGUGUGUUGUUUCCCACCUUCAGCCCAUUUUACGGAGUGUCAAAAGCCAAGCUGUGCUACAUUUUUGUGUUGUGUUCAUGACUGUGCUCACGCUCUUCUCCCUUCUUUCCCCACAUAGAGUUACACUUUGUGGCCUCUAGGUGGAAGCAGUGUUCAGCUGAAACAUCUGUUUUUGGUAGUUUUGCUCCUACUCUGCUGCUGUUCCCUAAAUUUAAGAGAAAACCAAACGGUUCCCUUUCACCACGUCUGUUCUGAGUUUUUUUGUUUCUCUUUAAACAAAUCUACACAGAACUAAGUGGACUGGAAACAGUGGAACAUUGUACGUCUGUAAAAUGUGGACAUUAAAGAGUGAAGUUUCACGGAACAUAGUGUCUGCCUCAGGUCAUUGUGUGCCAACUGCUGCUAUAGGAUCUAUGGAGUGGGUCGUUUUUAUCACGCAGAUGCCUUUGUGCUUUGUCUUCCUUUUACAGAACGGCUGCUUUAGUUAAGCUCUUCCUUCAAAACAAGAAGUAUGAAUUCACAAACUUACCUGUCUUUGCUCAUUUUCUGUUUUCCCUUAACAAGACUGACUUCUGUGACUGAAAAGGAUGAGAAGAGAUAAUACUUUUAAGAAAUUAUGAUUUUGAUAAGUAACAGUUUACACAAGGACAGAAGGCCACGCUCUUAUUACCCACGUAACUGUUAGGCAGAGUUGAAUGAGAUUCUGCACUUUUUAUCAGCAUAAUACACAACAUAUCUUGUAUCCAAAGUUUGUCUUCAGGAGUUUGAAAAAACAAAAGCCUCUUUUAUUUUUUCUGCAUACUAACACCUGAGUGCAUGCACACGUACUGACACAAACACACACACACAUAAACACGGACACACACACCUACACACUCUUUCUGCUGAGUCAACCGUCUGGCAGGUUGAACCCGUUGGUGUGUUUAGCUGGAAACAGACAAACCGCACACACUCAGACAGGCAGGCAGGCCCCGUGUGCACAAUCACACUGAUACUGAUUGAUCCAAAUUAGAGGGAAGUCCCCUUUUCUUUGUUCCUGAAUGGAAACACAAAGGCGCAGAGGAAGAUGACAGUGAAGCACAACUUUUAACCUCCUAGAGCCACAAAUAGUCGCCUUUACGGUGUACAAGGUUGAGGAUCUGAAACCUAAAAGUGUUGUCAGAAUUGCUCGUGUAUGAGGACAGAAAGCACUCAACAUGAGAAAAUAAUUAAAUUUGGAGUAAACAAAUGAUGAUUUUAAGAAUCCAAAGACAAAAACACAGACUGAGAAGAAGGCUCUGAAGUAAAAGAGAGUAAUGAAUUACUUUGCCUCUAAACAUUUCUCAUAUGAGUCUGUCUUGUCAAAUACAAACACAGUUGAAGAUGUAUUACAGAAACUUCAGAUGAAAUUAACUCCCAAAAGCCUCAAUUAUACCUCCAAAGCACCAACGUGACGAGCCUAGAACCGUCGAAACAGCAUGAGGAACAAUUGACCUCAGACUAUAUUAAGCUACCUGUGCUGAGACCUCUAAGAACUUUAAGCUGCCAUACUUGCGACACACCUGGUCACCUAUUAAGUUUCAGACUACUAAUGUAAAAAUAAAUAAAUAAGAUCAGCUAAUGCUGAACGACGGAGCCUUUUUCAUACUUAUUAGGGAGUAAUCUCUACUGCAGACCUUAACAAGGCAAGAAAUUAGCUGCAGAUUAUCUGCAAAAUCUUGUCCAUUUAGGUCAGCAUCUAUUGUAAUUGUUAUACAAACAAAUAUUUUACUCAUCAAACUUAAAUUAAGUAAAUACUUACAUUUUGAUGAAAAAACAAAUUUCCAAUAGAAUUUGUGGUGGUUUUAUUUUGAAAGUUAUAGACAAAUAAGAGGGAACGAUCACAAUCAAGGAGUGAAAAUGCAAGUGUAUUCUGUAAGGAACAAGUCUGUCUGUCAGUGUUGACAUACAUCUGUAGGUCUAAGGUAUGCAUGUCUCUAAAUUGACAUGAAAUAUGUCUUUCUAGUAACACAGCAGCCCUGUCUUUUCUUUCUCUCAUCUCUAUUUUUCUCUUCUACUUAUUAAAAUUCAUUUCCUUAUUGCCUUUUUUCAAUGAAAUUUCCCCUGUUGCAAAAUUUCCUCUUUACGUGUUACUUCCUCAUUCAUGUAGACAGCAACAUUGCUUUGUCAUUCUGCGUCUUGUCGCAUUGUUGAGAUUCUUUUGUUGACUUGAGUGUCUGUCUACUCUCGAUAAUAAAGAUGUUUAUUAUUAUAAAAUUAUUGCUGUUAUCAUUACAUUGAUAUUGUUAUGAUGACGACUGUUUUAAUACGCUCUCAAGAAAAGAUCAAGAAAUCAGACUAAAAUAACCAACCAAGGAAAAAAGUGUCAGAAAAGUUCAAAAGUAAACUGUUCAAACUUUGAGGUCUUCAUUUCUCCAUGUAGGUGUAAUAUCAGAUGACUGCUGCUGACAAUAAUGAAAAGGGCGACUAAACUGAUGAAUGGACGAGCUUCAGAACUAUUUAUCUUCGUGACACUCGUGCUGCGAGUUGAUAUAACAUCAAGUAAAAGGCUGCACAGGCUGCACAUAAAAUACAGCUCACUAUGAAAAUCUUGUGCAUGAUUUAACCUGCCCUUUGAGUUCAGCGUGAACACCCAGUGAAAGCAUAAAGAAUGGUGUAGUUAAUCUUGACGCUGGACAGAUUUAAUGGAGCGGUGUCAGGUGACAAUAGCUGGAAAAGCCAUCCAAGUGAACCUAAUGCGAUCAGAACAGCCCCUGUCUGUCUCCCAUCCAGGAAUUUACAGUAGGGGGGGAAAGCCCAGGUGAGCUUGACUUAACCCUGAGUGUACACACACACAUAUGCACACACUGGACACACAACCACAAAUACAUAAUACUACCACCUUUUACCGUUUACACAAACAUAGACGUAACUACCUUAAAACUGUCAAAAAAACGUCCAUGUGUUUGCCUAACAUGAUUUUAUGCAAGUUAAUAACCAUUUAUCAGGCAAAAGUCCUUCAUUUACAAACAUGAGCACACUGACAUGGGUUAUUUUAUCCAACACACCACUCAUGCACAUGAAUGCAUUCACUGUUGCACAUUUAAGAGACAUCUACUCUGCUUUGCUGUUGUGCUCUCUGAAAUAUGUGUCUGCAUUUACCUGGGAGACAUAAAACUGUAUGUUCCUUCAUCGAGGAUAAAGUUCAUUUUAUUUCCCCCCCACAUGAUAGGUAACUACAGGACACCUCAAACAGAAGUCAUGCUAUUGUAGGUCUUCAACUUUCUAAGGCUGAGUGUGUGUGCUGACUCUAAAUAAGUUCAAUAUUUUGCUCUAUUUGAACUCUUGAUUUUUUGAUUAGUCUCAGGUCUCAGGAGUCGGUUACAGAGGUGGAAGUCAGGCCUUGGUCGACCAGCUGACCCUCCACUAGAGCGAAAGGUCGCCGCAGUGUGUGUAUGUGUUUGUGAGUGUGUGUGUGUGUUUUGUAACUGUAUGCUUCCAGCACACAGGGAGUGCAUUAAUGCUCGUACUCCCCUGGCCAUCCCUCCCUCUUUUUCUUUUUUGACCGUAACUCUACACCGUGUACCCCCUCAUCCUCUCCUGCCCCCUUCCUCCUCCUCCUCCUCUCUCACUGAACCUCCUGCUGUUUUAUCCUGUUUUAUGGGACACACCUGAUCCACCAAAAAUGCACAAUAGUUAAGAAGGGACUGGGAUCAAAAUGCUCAUCAAUGAUCAAAACACAUUGUUUGGCUGCUAAAUAUGAUAAAAUUUUCACCAAAAAACAAGAAUAACUUAACUCAAAUGCUUUUUGUGUCUGUGAUGCUGAAGUUUUCUGAAAGCAUUGAUGUCUGUAUUUGUUGUUGAUAGCUUUGUUUUAUUUUCAGUAGUGUUAUUUAAACUAAUGUUAAUGGUGAUGUUUAGUUAAAGACCUAAAAAGCGAUCUUAAAAUAAAAUGUGUAAUUAUGGACUGUUGGUAGUUGCUUAUGAUUAUUGUAAAUAUACAGGUCUUCGUUUGCAGAGGUUUCUUACAUAAGCAAAGUAAUAUUAACGGUUUAAAAAUACAUCCAUAUCUUUGAUCAUGCUGAUGUUGUUGCAGACCUGUCGAUCAAUUUUAUACUAAUAAUGUCUCCAGAUGAAAUCUUGAAUUUAAGUGCUCGUAUAACUCCUAUAAGCACUCAGAUUACCUUGAAUGUUUACAUUUGACUCGCAGGGUGACUCAUGCCAAACUUAAACUUCGUAUUGACAUAUUCUGAUGGUAUUUUAUUUCCCAACAAUUUUCAUAUUUGAUUAGGCCAGAAAAAGAAAAAACUAAUGGGACAUAAAACACUGUUAAUCCACUCAGAAUGUGUAUUUUAAUUCCUGCGUCUUUCUGGGUUGACUUCACAGUUCCUUGCCUGAAUAUGUUUGUGAUUUCAUCAGUUCAUCUCUGCCCAAAAACAUUGUCCCAGCGCUGCCAGUCAGCAUAGCUCCAUCAGCCAAGAGCAGAGAGUCUGUGGACCAUCUGAAUCCACGUUAUAUUUAGGAAUGAACCCAAACCUCACUCACCUCAGAGGGCAUUUUCCUCUCACUCUCUAUGUAAGUGCAAAUGUGUGUGUGUGAGCUAUCAUACAGAGACACUAUGUUCUGGUAGUGGGUAAAUUUGUUGUACUUGAAUAUAUUGACCUGUUGUCUGUGCAGAUUCACCCUUUGAU